rnacentral:lncRNA from 1 species
GGGGUUUGGCCACAUAUUUAUAGGCAAAGGGGGUGCCCUAAGUUUUCUUAAAAAUAAAUCAUCCAAAAGAGUCCCUGACGGCUAGGACUCUAGAGAGAAAAUCCUAGUGUUGCCACCCCACCUAAAUUAGCCAACCAACUUCCAUGUUGGCUUGGGUGGCUAGGGUUUCACCAACCCUAGAUGUGGUGCCGCAUUUGCUCCC